GCAGCUAUUCCCAACCCCAGAACCUUUGCUGUCUUGGAACAGAUCACCACUGCAAGAGGGGAAGUUGCUACUGUGAUGAAUUCUGCCAUGUGGUACCAGACUGCUACCCAGACCACAGUGUCCUCUGCAACCCUCGUCAAAGGUGCCUACAUGUUCCUUCUAGCUUUGUUUCCCUGAUGUUCCUUGCCACCUGCUACUCCUCUCUGAGCUACUUUUCCAGCUUCUCAGAUGACCAAGAUGGUGCUGCAGAUGGUGCUGAGGAUGGAGAACCCACCAAGCCCCGCUAGGAGCCACCUAGACUGGAUGUAGAGCAUGGUUCAGCGAGUUCUCCAAACCAGCCUCCCAGGAAUGCCGGUCUCCAUGGCUGUGAGGGGAAUCAAGAAGAGAGCCUGACUCCUCUCCUGAGGCCCCUUCCCCACCCUGAGCCAGCA
rnacentral:lncRNA from 1 species